GACGAGGGAUCCAAGCGUUUGUUCGGAAUUAUUGGGCGUAAAGCGGAUGCAUGUGGCUCUUUUAGUCAGGUGUGAAAUCCCCAGGGCUCAACCCCUGGAAGUGCAUUUGAAACUGGAGAGCUUGAGUGCUGGAGAGGUAAGUAGAAUACCUGGUGUAGUGGUGAAAAUACGUAGAUAUCAGGUGGAAUACCGGAGGCGAAGGCGGCUUACUGGCCAGACACUGACACUCAGAUCCGAAAGCGUGGGGGAUCAAACAGG
rnacentral:rRNA from 1 species